AAUCGCAAAGGCUGCUGCGCAGCGCUGCCAGUCGGGGUGGUAUUGGUAUGACAACAGUUGCCACCGUUGCCAGAGGGGUUGGAGCUGGCGCAACAAUCGCUGCUGGCGCAACUGAAACCUCCAGUUUCACGGGUGCCAAGGGUCUGGAAACAAGAAUAAAGACACUGAUGACGUGUUUUCUGUAUCGUGCGAUGCUGCAUGGCAUUGCAUGAGUUCCAGCAAUAAAAUAUAAAUUGUCCAAGCC